rnacentral:rRNA from 1 species
GACGAACGCUGGCGGCGUGCUUAACACAUGCAAGUCGAACGGAAAGGCCUGCUUUCCCUUGUGGAUUGCGGGUACUCGAGUGGCGAACGGGUGAGUAACACGUGAGUGAUCUGCCCCCAACUUGGGUAUAAGCCUGGGAAAUUGGGUCUAAUUCCCGAUAGGACUGCAGGGUGGUGCCUGUGGUGGAAAACGAUUUUCUAGUGGUUGGGGAUGAGCUCGCGGCCUAUCAGCUUGUUGGUGGGGUAAUGGCCUACCAAGGCGGCGACGGGUAGCCGGCCUGAGAGGGUGGUCGGCCACAUUGGGACUGAGAUACGGCCCAGACUCCUACGGGAGGCAGCAGUGGGGAAUAUUGCACAAUGGGCGGAAGCCUGAUGCAGCGACGCCGCGUGGGGGAUGACGGCCUUCGGGUUGUAAACUCCUUUCGACCGCGAGGAAGCCACCUGGUUGGAAGGGUGGUGACGGUAGUGGUAGAAGAAGCACCGGCUAACUACGUG